GGCACAGCCUGAGCCUGCAGCUUCCCAGAGGGUGGACCCAACGACUCAGGCAGCAUCAGACGGGCAGACACUCCCGGGUCCCGGCCUCAUCCGGCCUGCGGCAGUUCCUCCCCUUCCCCCACUCUUGCCUGGCACUUACGUCCAGCCCCGCGCGUGCAGUCGGUCCAGAGCCCGGUGUCGCGCCGCGCCGGGCCGCCUCACUUUCCCAGUUCCAGCCAAGAAAACAAAACAGCUACAGGCCGCCGGAUACCCGGAUUGAGCAGCACCGCCCCAGGAGCUCGGUCGCGCAUGCGGAGACGGGGCGGAGGGAGCGGCGCGGGGAGAGAGUAGCACUCGCUGAGGGAGGGCUAGAGAGAGCCACGCCCACCGCGCCGACGUCUCUGGGGAUGCUCGGGGCGCCAGCUGUGGGGACUUUCCGCAGCGCUCAGUUCACAUGUGUACGUCGGAAGUGAUACUUGGGUCCGGCAUUCAAGGUUGUGACAACCAAAAAUGUCUCCAGAUUGCCAGACAUCCCCUCCCGGGGAAAAUCGUCGGGAGAUAGGAUUCGGUUUAGGAGAUACUCUGGGUUAUGGGGAAGUGACCCUUUUCAGAGCUGGCAGCAACGAUGUCUUAGCUACGUGAACGAACUUGUGGCCGGGCUCGCCCGCUCUUCCAGACGCUCUCGUUCCUGUUCCAGCGUCUCGCUGGAGUCGGUCGUGGUCCAGGAGUCAGAGCCCGCCCGGGAGAAGGAGCAGGUCACGGUCUCGGUCCGAAAGGCGCCACCAGAGAAAGUACGGGCGCCACUCGCAGUCUUCCUCGCGGAGCGGGUCGCGAUCCCGCAGGAAGUGCCGCUCUCGGGGAAGGUCGUAUUGCAGAAGGGCCUUCUCGAACACGCAGGGUGACAGUACUAGGGCUUUGACCCUGUAGUGUACCCGAAAGAACACAGCACUUGGAGGGAGAGAUCCAGGAAGAGGUCGCAGAGCAGAACCCCGUUUCCUGUAAAAUGGAGCUAUUAGAAAUAGCAAAAGCAAGCGCAGCUAAAUCAUUCAGAACAACCAACCUUGACUUCCCAGCUAGUCUCAGAACUGUUCCUUGUAGCUAAAGAAAGAAACUGUGGAACAGCUGUACCAAAUACUGCAAAGUUCAAGUUUCUUGUGUCAUAAGUGGGAUCUGAAGACUAUCCCCUGACAAGCCCUGAGGCCGGUGAGUAACCAGGUGCCAGUACCUAACAAGCCCAUUGUGCUUGCUGCUUUCUCAUUGACCAUGGAGUUCUAGGGAUCCCAUCCAGGACAGCACAUUACAUUUAUGUCUCCUGAGGCUCCUCUUAACUGUGACAGUUUCUCAGACUUUCCUUGUUUCUGAUGCACAGAUUUGAGGAGUACUGGUCAGGAAUAUUGCAGGUGUUGGUUAUUUUUUGUAUGUAACAUUUCAUGAUUAAAAAUUACUAAUCAGGGGGACUUCCCUGGUGGUCCAGUGGUUAAGAAUCCAUCUGCCAAUGCAGGGGACACAGGUUCCAUCCCUGGUCUGGGAAGAUCCCAUAUGCCGUGGGGCAGCUAAGCCCGUGCACCACAACUACCAAGCCCGAGCUCUAGAACCCGUGUGCCGCAACUGCUGAGCCUGCGUGCUGCAACUACUGAAGCCUGCACGCCUAGAGCCCGUGCUCCACAACAAGAGAAGCCACUGCAGUGAGAAGCCCACGCACCGCAACGAAGAGUAGCCCCGCUCGCCGCAUCUAGAGAAAAGACUGCGCGCAGCAAUGAAGACCCAGUGCAGCCAAAAAACAAAAAGGAACCUAAGAGUGGUGAUCAUUAAAAAAAAAAAAAAAGAAAAAUUAGUAAUCAGGGACUUCCCUGGCGGUCCAGUGGUUAAGAAUUCGUGCUUCCACUGCAGGGGGCACAGGUUCGAUUCCUGGUUGGGGAACUAAGAUCCCGCAUGCCAUACGGCGCGACCAAAAAGAGAAAAAAAUUACUAAUCAAUUGUGAUAGCAAUACCUGUUGGGCCUACCUUAAAACACACACACACACACACACACACACACACACACACACAACACCUCCAUGCUAUCAAUUUAGUGCAAGCCAGCAUCAUUUCUCACUCUAAUCACUGCAGUUGUCUCUCUGCUCCAUGUUGGGCCUCCACUCCCCCCAUCUUUUCUCCACACAGCAGCCAGAGAGGCUUUAAAAUAUAAAUCAGCUUCUAUUUCUUCUGGUCUCCAGAUGCUUCAAUGGCUUCUUUUCUUGUAGACUAAAAUACACUACAGGAUCCUUCAUGCUCUCAUCACUUAUCACUCUUCCCCCGGCUCACUCUGCUCUGUCAUACUGGCUUCCUUGUAGCCCCUGAAACACACCGCAUUCCUGCCCUAGGACCGUUGCACCUGUCCUUUACCUGGAACGUUCCUCCUCUGCACAGCCACAGGCUCACUCCUCCACUCUUUCUAGUCUCUGCUCAGAUGUCACCUCUUCAGAGAGGCAUUCCCUCGCACCUUAGCUUGCAGCCCGCCCCCCACAAGUUGUCCUCUUUCUCCUUAACUUUUUUUUUUAAUUCAAAAUAUCACUACCUGACAUUACAUUCUACAUCUUAAUUUGUUUAUUGUCUGUCUCUUCCAUUAGAAUACAAGUUUCAUGAGGCCAAGCAGUUAAUACAAUUUGUUUAUUGCUGUAUCUUAGGCUCAAAGUUAACACUCAAUAAAUAUUGGUUACAUUAAUUAGUCAAUAAAGUACUUUUUUUUUUUUUUUUUUUACAAGGAAGUUGGUUGUUAGGUAAGGUGGUUCACAAUCUGGGACUCCUGAACUCCUAGAUAUCUUUGAAGGUGGCAGUUUUCUUAAUUUCUAAAGAUCUGGUCAGACUACAAGUUACUUACAGGGGGAUGGUUCAUUAAUGGAUAUAUCUCCAGAAUCUGGGAUAAUUCCUUGAAUACAUUGAGCACUCAAUAGAGAUACCUGUAUUAUAAUUAACUGGAAUGAAAUUGGCAAUGUGGCAAAGCAAAGUCUUUGUGAUGGCAGCAUAUCUGAAAGGCAGAGGAAUACUGAGAAAGUUUAUGUACGAGGACAAUAAUCACACAUUAAAAUUAUAUAAUGUUUGUUAAUAACACUGUUAUGGACUGAAUUGUGUCUCCAUGCCCCACCCCUCCCCCUGUAGCCCUAACCCUCAUUAUGACUAUAUUUGGAGAUAGAGCCUCUAAGGAAGUCAUUAAGGUUAAAUGAGGUCAUAACAGCGGGGCCCUAAUCUAAUAGAACUAGUGUCCUUAUAAGAAGAGGAGGAGACAGGUGUGCACAGAGAAAAGGCCAUGUGAAUACACAGUGAGAAGGCCACUAUCUGCAAGCUAGGAAGAGGUCUCACAAAACCAACCCCUCUAGCACCUUGAUCUUGGACUUCCAGC